rnacentral:rRNA from 1 species
AAUCUGGGGUCCACGACCUCCGAGUUGUAAUUUGGAGAGGCAUCUUCGGGGGGGAGCGCCGGCCCAUGUUCCUUGGAACAGGACGUCGCAGAGGGUGAGAAUCCCGUGCCAGGCCGGCUCCCUCCUCCCGCGUGAAGGGCCUUCGACGAGUCGAGUUGUUUGGGAAUGCAGCUCCAAGCGGGUGGUAAGUUUCAUCUAAAGCUAAAUACCGGCGGGAGACCGAUAGCGCACAAGUAGAGUGAUCGAAAGAUGAAAAGCACUUUGAAAAUAGAGUCAAAAAGUACGUGAAAUUGUUGAAAGGGAAGCGCUUGAGACCAGACUCAGGCCCGGGCAAACACCGCGCCCCCCGGGGCCGUGCAAUUGCCUGGGGCUGGGCCAGCAUCAGUCGGCGUGGCGGGACAAAGGCGCGGGGAAUGUGGCUCCCCUCGGGGAGUGUUAUCAGCCCCGCGCUCAAUGCCGCCGACGUCGACUGAGGACCGCGCCUCGGCUAGGAUGCUGGCUUAAUGGCCUUCAGCGACCCGUCUUGAAACACGGACCAAGGAGUCUAACAUCUAUGCGAGUGUUUGGGCGCCAAACCCUUGCGCGGAAUGAAAGUGAACGGAGGUGGGAACCCCCCAGCGGGGCGCACCAUCGACCGAUCCUGAUGUCUUCGGAUGGAUUUGAGUAG